UCCCUACGGGAGGCAGCAGUGAGGAAUAUUGGUCAAUGGACGGAAGUCUGAACCAGCCAUGCCGCGUGCAGGAAGACGGCUCUAUGAGUUGUAAACUGCUUUUGUACAAGGGUAAACCUGAAUACGUGUAUUCAGCUGAAAGUACUGUACGCAUAAGGAUCGGCUAACUCCGUGCCAGCAGCCGCGGUAAUACGGAGGAUCCAAGCGUUAUCCGGAUUUAUUGGGUUUAAAGGGUGCGUAGGCGGACAGUCAAGUCAGCGGUAAAAAUGCGGUGCUCAACGCCGUACAGCCGUUGAAACUGGCAG
rnacentral:rRNA from 1 species